rnacentral:rRNA from 1 species
AUUGAACGCUGGCGGCAUGCUUUACACAUGCAAGUCGAACGGCAGCGCGGGCUUCGGCCUGGCGGCGAGUGGCGAACGGGUGAGUAAUGCAUCGGAACGUGCCCAGUAGUGGGGGAUAGCCCGGCGAAAGCCGGAUUAAUACCGCAUACGACCUGAGGGUGAAAGCGGGGGACCGAAAGGCCUCGCGCGAUUGGAGCGGCCGAUGUCGGUUUUGCUAGUUGGUGGGGUAAAGGCUUACCAAGGCGACGAUCCGUAGCUGGUCUGAGAGGCCGACCAGCCACACUGGGACUGAGACACGGCCCAGACUCCUACGGGAGGCGGCAGUUGGGAAUUUUGGACAAUGGGGGCAACCCUGAUCCAGCCGUGCCGCGGGCGGGAAGAAGGCCUUCGGGUUGUAAACCGCUUUUGUUCGGGAAGAAAUCCUCUGGGCUAAUACCCCGGGGGGAUGACGGUACCGGAAGAAUAAGCACCGGCUAACUACGUG